UGGCAGCUGGGAUAGCUCUCCAGGCCAUGUGGAGAUUGGGAUGUGUCCCAAACUCCACAUAGUUGGAAGGCAGCAUGCCACUGAGCUGGGACAGCUCUCCCUGCCCCCUGUGGUUCCCUGCUUCCUAGGCUGACUGGAAGCAAUUUGCUCCUGGUCAGCACCUACACAUAUUCUUUGGUGCAUUAGUUUAAUGUGCCAAGUUUAAUGUGACAGAGUAGAUUAAUUAGUAGAUACAGGUAUGUCCCAGGGCGAUGAAAAGAGAGGGACGAAAACCCCUCUCCUGCGGUUGGGGCCAUGAUGGGGUUAGCCCACUGCAACCCCGGAGAAACAGCCCUGCGAGCAGGGUGAACUUACCUUUUGCAAAGGCAAUGAGCCAGGGCAAGCCAUGAGGGAACGAACCUCCUGUGUGGUUCAUCAGCUGCUUUUCUAUAUGGCUGGAACUGGCACGGGUGCCCAGCUGUGUUAAAAGCCGGUAUCGGGGAAAAGGCUGCGGAAGCACAGCAGAGAGGAGGAUGUGAGCUCCCCUCUUGGACUGACCAGGAACCCUCCUGGUCCUGAGGGGAGAACCUGGGAGUACCCAGCACCAGGCCCAGAGAGUGCGCUAGGACCUGGAAUCACACAGAGGGACGAUCGGCACGUUCGGCACAUUCUGACACAGGACACGUGAGUAGGAAGGAGGCCCCAGACCCUCUGAAGUUUAAGUUGGUCAAUGUUCCUUUUUGUUCCUUUUUAAGGCCCCAUAGGCCAUGGAAGAAGGCCAGGGGAUUAACGCUGCGGCGGAGCGUUGACUACAAAGGACCAACUCAUGGUAUCAUAAUAAACUCUAGUUUACUGGACAGGAUGUGAAGUUACCAAUAAAAUCAUAAAUGCAAACUUUGAGUUAUGGGUGGUACUGGUCACCUUAGCGCACACACACACAUGCACUCACUCAUUCAAACCCAUGUAGUAUAGUAUAUGGUAGCUGCUGUAAUGUGUGCGGGAGCACUGGUGUUAGUAUAUCUGCCUAUCCGAGGCCCUGGAGUCUGCUGUUGAUGGUCAGCUUCGGGGGUCACCUGUUUGUCCGUCUGUCUCGGUAGGUUAAGUGCAAAACGAGAGGGUGCCACUGGGGGUUACGCUUCACUGCCUUUUAUCCCUUUCUGGCAGACUUGUGUGAUCCCCCAGCAUCAUCUUGCCUACCCAAUCCUGAGGUCGCUGUCCCAUGUGGGCCUUGAGUAGUACCUGACAGCUGUUAGUCACAGGGGUCUCUGCCUGCUGGUACCUGAAAUUUUGGGAGUCCACCCUUGACUUAUUGACUUAAUGGCUGUAUUGUCAUGGGUUACAGGAAUAGUCUAUAGGGUGAGUGCUCAAGUUCCAUGAAUCAGUUCUUUAGCUUGAUUAGCUUAAAAUGGAGUUCCUUUGGCUAGGCUAUUGUCUACUGAUGAUCAUCAUUCACUCGCAUUCACUCAACAGAUUUCAUCACUUUACAAUUACAAUUUCAAUGCAGUUUUAACAAUGGUCCAGGGUGUAACUUCAUUCUACAGGGAGUACAUUCCUUAAGAAUUUAAAAGCAUAAAAUAUAAAAUACAAAAUGCCAUGGUAAAGAUGAGACAGAUGAAAUAUGAAAAUGCACUGUGAGAAAUAUAUAAAAAUGCAAUGUGAGGUAGUGAGGAUCAAAGGCUAAGUGAGCUAGGUUAGCACAGGAUAUAUUUACCAUCUUCGCAGUGGAUAUUUUAGUUCUUUUGUUUUCUUUAGUCACGCUGAGCUCAAUUAAUAUGUAGAUGUAGUUUCUAGGUUUCUCCUACAGAAAGCCACUUUAGCUUUCUGACUGGCUCUGAGUCUUGCCACACCCAUGCAAUGAGUAUGCUAGGUCUCUGCCAAUACUUAGAAGGAAAAGAAAUGCACAAAAUGGGGGAGGGGGAGGAGGUGCAAGCAAGAAGGGGCUUCUGUUAUAUCCAUGUCCAGAAGAGAAAUGUACAAAGAGGGUUUUCUGCUACAAGAGCACCCUGGGGCUCCUCAGGGACUCCUGACAUCACAGGGCGAUCCACCAUCAGGGUUUACCCUGUAUCCAAGAUGCCCCAUCGGGGUGAGGGAGUAUUGAACUGACACCCGGUCCACGACAGGUGAGCCACAAACCAUGGCCAAAGAGAAAGAGGCAGCCAACCAAGUAAUUGCAGCGCUGGACCUUCAAGGUCAGGAGUGAGAAAUUGGGGACACUGGGGGUUGUGGUACCCAAGAAAGGGUUGGACUGACCAACAGAUGUCAUCCCAACAGGCUGGCAUGUCUGGAGCAUCUGUCAGAGAUGCUUCCCAGCAUACCAUCCCUUCACCAAGGGGAACCCCACUAUUGAACUCAACAUCAAAGGAAUGGCAGGCUAAUGUUGGGGUUUUCUCUGGGGAGGAGCCAAGCAAUCAAACAGGCAGCUGGAGCAGAUUGCGGCAGGCUCAGGGCUCCCGCUCGAGGGCCGCCCAGGAGAAGUUCCACGAAGCCCAGCGGGUGCAAGGUAUUAGAAUACAGUGCAUUAGACUUAUCUGCUAUGCAGUAAUUGCUGUGCACGUGUAGAUGGUGAUGCUUUACUGUGCAUUAUAUUAGUCUAAUGUGUAGUAAAGCAUCUUACGCAGAUGCACCCAGGGUGUGAUUACAUGCUACAAAGUAGCAAGUCCUAAUUUUAAGGAAUGCUAGGUUGGUGUUAAAGUUAGCACAUGCUGUGAGUAGUUGCUCCUCUGUAACGCUGGCAGCUCUGACAUGCUGCUAGAGGACUGGUGAGUAGGGGCUUGGCUAAGAGCUAACAAGUCUGUUCUGUACCUGUCCUGCUCACUUGGCUUUCUACUAGCAACACACAAAGCCCCAGCCCCAGCACGUAUGCCUGCAUGCACACACUGCCUGCCUCCCAGCCCCAAUGUGUGUCUGCAUGCAUGUGCACGCAUACACACACCCAGUCUCAGUAUACAUGCAUAGUCCCAGCCCCAGCACACAUGUACACACCUCAGCACCAAUUCAUGCACACAUACCCGCACACACCUAGCCCCAGUGUGUAUGCACCUAGCUCCAACAUGCACACACCCAGCCCUAGCGUGCACACACACACGCACCCCAGCACACAUGCAUCAGCUGCAGCCCCAGCAUGCACACUCCACCUCCAACCCCAGCAUGCACUCACACCCACACCCACACCCCCAGCUCAUAUCCUCCACAGCCCCAGCCCCAACACGCCCUCCCCUCCCCACAGCCUUGCAUGUACAUCCUACUCCACAUCCUCAGACUUGCCUUUGGCUGUGGUCACUGCCAUUUAGCACAGCUGGCACACUGGGUAGCAGCAGCAGUGGGUUGGGAGUUUUCAUCUGACUUUGCAGAGUGCAUGGAGCUAGGGAGCUCCCCUCAACUGUUCAUGCAGUUACAAGGUGGGGCUCCAUCCAGGCAGGGAUGACUCCCGUAGUGCUGCCCCCACUGCUGGACCUGGACUGUGCUGCUGAGCAGUGAUUUCAGUCAAAGGCAAGUCUGUGGGGACAGUGUGUGUGUGUGUGUGUGUGUGUGUGUGUGUGUGUGUGUGUGUGUGUGUGUGCGCACACGCGCGCGCUGGAGCUAUGUACAUGAGUGCAUGUACACAUGCAUGUUCUGGUGCUAUGUUCAUGAGUGUGUGUGCACAUACAUGUCCUAGGGCUGUGUAUACCUGUGUGCAUAUGUGUGCACAUGUAUGUGGGCUGGGGCUGUGUGUGUGGUUGUGUGUAUGUGGGUGUGUUGGCCAGCAGCUGUCCUCUUCACUCCCUUACUUUGCCCUUUCCUAACUCAUUAGCCACUGCUCCGCUGUCAGGCCUGCCAUUAGGGGGGCAUCAGAAUCCAGGAAGAAACCUAGUCCACUUGGGAGCAGUACUUCCUGGGAUACUGGAGGACCACAAAUUGGUUGUUUUAACUCCAUUCAACAUUUAGAAGAUAACCUAAAUCAAGCUUCCUAGCACAGUUCAGAGAUAAUCCUCAUCUCAAGUGGUAUGACUUUAAAAUGCCUAGAGGGCACUUAGCACUAGUUAACAAGCUUGAAGGAGCUAGUAUUCAAAUUUUAAGUAUCAUUAACAAGAGCUAAUUGCAAUGUGCAAUCUCACCCACACACAGGGCACAUCUACAUGAGGCACCAUUGUGCAAAGUAGCUUAUUCUACCCUGCAUUUGUGUGUCAUGGCAAAAACUGCGCGAAUGCACUAAUGUGCAGUAGAAUUAGUCUGCUGUGCAUUAAGCAUCAGAAAAACCCCAUUCACCAUUGCUACUGUGCAUUAGUGUGCAUUUAUGUAGUACCUUAUAUUAGAGGUACUAAACUAAAUGCGCAGCGGCAAAGGUGCACUAAUGAAUAUGUAGACGUGCCCACAGCUACUAUACAUGGGAUUACACUGUUCCAAAGGACAAACCAGCCACAUAGAAAUAAAAUUCCUCUUAAUCAGUGAUUCCACAAUUGCCCAUUGCAGCAUUUCUUGCACCUUCUUUUGAAUUAGCUGGUGCCUGUCACUGUCAGAUCCAUGGUUGCAUGGACUGCUGGCCAGACACAAGCUGGUAGUUUCUGUGUUCUUCUGCUCAUAGAAGAGGUGGACUUCACACAUUCUCUGUGUUGUAUCGGGUUUGUGCUUUUUUGGGUAGAAACAGACAUCACCUAAUUGAAGUGGAUCAGCAGAUGUGGUGUGACAAAAGGUGAGACAUCUAUUUCUCUGCAUUUAUUCAGCCAUAACAAUUGUUACUGUGUCACAAAUACCAUGUCAAGUAAUGUCUGUUUCUUCCUUAGAGGAGCAGGAGUGCAGGACUCCUGACUAGCACCUGCCUGACUUCAUUGCUAGCCCCCCAGACACGCUGCCAGCUCUAGACCCACUGCUACUGCUGCCACUGGAUGCUUUGCUGCUGCUGGACCCACUGCCGCCCCUGUGAUGGCCAUGGCAGCUGCCUUUGUGGCCUGGGUUGGAUCUAGACUAUAAGGAGCCCUGCAGUUCAGAUCUGUCCCAGCAGCCAAGGAACGGCUGCUUUCUGGUGGCAGAGCAUCUGGGCAACCUGGUGAAGGUCAGCCAGCCAUACUAUAGCACAGCAUGGAGAAAUCAACCUCCCAGGCUAAGGCCAAGAUCUGCAGGAACUGGCUGCUGGUAAUUGGGCUUCGACUUCCACACUUAGGCCUCUCAAUCAGAAUACACUUCACCUCCAUUAGCGCAGUGUGGUAGCAUCCACUUAAGAUGGCUGUGAAUUUGUCCCUUGAAAAAGGGUGACCCCAGCCCAGCAGGCUGAGGUUGUGAUCAAUCAGCGUGAUAACCCAAUGACAUCCUUUUGGAGUGGUGAUGCUUGUAUAGUGGGAUAAGCUGGUUAGCAGUGGGUGUGCAUAUGAUUGGCAUUCAGGAGGAAAGCAGCUCGUCUUUGUUCACUUUGCAUUAAGCUCUUUAAUUGCUGUGUCAAGAGGAACAGAAGAGAGUCUGGGAAUGAUCUGGAAAGACAACAACUGUUGCUAGGAAUUUCAGUCAUGGAACAAGCAGGAUUGCUGAGUUGUUUUCUCAGGCAGGUGCCUUUUCCCAGGAUCCUAGAAGGGCAGCACCAUUGCCCCAGCAGGUGUCCUAUUCUCAGCCCAUAUGUGGCUGUUUUGGAAAGCUGGAGGCAUUUCAGAGUUUUGCAAGUGUAAAGAAAACAUUGUUUUCCCCUAAAUUCCAGCUGAAGCCCUAGCCUGGUGUCACUCAGAAGUGACGGACAUAAUAAAUUCUUCAUAAGUGCAGAACUUAAUAUUUGGCUUGGUGAAUAGUCCCUUAGCUGCCAAGAUGAUCAGUGUCAUAUAAAUCCCGAGGAUUGGGAAUGAGAAUGGAAUCCAGACUUUCAGAGAAUUCACUCAGUAUUUGUCUAGUGAUGAAUGUAAAAAUGUAGGGUUCCCGCAUAAUCACCAGGAGACUCUUUCUUUUUGGCUGAGCCUGGGAAGAAAGUGUCUUAGAAAAUGGGGAGUACAGUGGAGCCUGGCAGAAUUAAGGCUACCUGAGUUAUUGACUCCUUUAUUAAAGAGGUUUCAGUGAAGUCCUUGGCACUCUCUCAGUGUUUCCCUCUACCCCAGCUGGAUGCAAAAGGCUGGAUGUAGGUAUCUCUGUGGGAUUCUCAAAGGUGCACUAUGCAGAAGGCCUAGGACUGGGUAGUCCCAGUGAUCACAUCAAGCUGUGACUGGAAUGAACUAAGGUUACUUUAUUUCGGGAUGCCUCACUUCGGGGGACAGACUGGUGAGACCAUUCAUGCAUAUCCUCCUCACUCUGCUGUUGGCCCUCCAAUCCCCUUCACAGCACAUAUGAUUUGUCCAUGCCUGUAUGACAGUCUGUGCCUUCAGCUGCAGAAGAGCCGAGUGGUUACGGCACUUGCCUAAGAAGUGGGAGAUGUAGUGAGCCUCUCCUUAGAGAACCGCUAGUAUGCCGAGUCUUCAGCCAUAGCUUUGGGCAAGCAUUCUAGGAUCCCAACACUUGCAUCACCUGUCACUGAUCAAUGCUGCUUUUGAAGUCAAGUUCUGACUCGGGACUCCCAAAAAGAAACCUUAUCCAGAUUCCCUCUCCCUGUAAAAAAUAGUGAGUUGCUGAAGAAGAAGCAAGAUUACCAUGUUGAUGAGUACCUGGACAAUACAGAGACUGAGAUAAGACUUGUCAGUCAAAUGUUUGUUGGACUGUAAUUUUACCUAUGCCUACACUGAAGACAGCAGCAUCUAUGGCAGCACCUGAGUCCCAGGACUGACUCACUUGAAAGACUGAGGGGGGUGGCUUUACUUGUCAAAGGCUGCAUCUACAUGUCACCCUACAUCACCGUAGUGACACACUGUGUCACUGUACAAUGUGCUAUGGUUAUGUAGCAAUCAUGUGAGUCUACACAUGACUGGCAGCUACUUUGCCAUAGAGGCAUGCUCCCCCAUUUUAGCAUGCGACUACAGCGAAGUAGUGGCCAAGACUAACUGUGCGCUGUGUUCACGGCACAGUACGGACAAUUACUAAAGAACAGCUCAGUAGCAACGUCGCUGUAGGGUGACGUGUAGAUGUACCCAAAGUGUUUAAAUGUGUGUUGAAUUCACAUUUAAAUGUCAAAGUGUUUUGCUGUGACUGGAAGGCAGGCAAGGUACAACACUUAGGUCAACCAUAUCUUCCAGGUCCUCCAGAUGACUGCUGCAGUGAGGAAAUUGGUAGUCCUUCUGGGCUUAGAUUUGCCCUAAUCUCCCUUGUCUGGAUCCACUUUCAGCACUCUGGUUUAUAGGACUCCCCUUUUUGUUUCUUAGGCCAUGUUCUAUUGGCCACAAAUUCAUCUGCCCAAUGAUUGAGAGUGCUCAUAUCCUUAGGAUUUCAGUUCAUCAUCCAAGUUUUAAGGUCUGGAGGACAUAUUUUGUAGAACUGCUCCAAACACAGAAAAUCAAGCAUCCCCCCAAACGAGACAGCAGCUCCCUUGUUCCAUUUUUGCCUAUAAUCCUUCAGUCUGGCUCUGACUUAUGCAUACAUCUCCUGAAUCUUUUGCAUUCCACAAAACUCUUUCCUAUGAGCUUCAUGAGUCAGUUUAAAUUUGAGCAGUAGGGCCUGCUUGAUCUGUUCAUAAUUCUGCCCAGUAUGUUCAAUCCAUAUGGUUAAAAACUUCCAGGUAUUCAAAACACAGUAAGGGAAUGAGACAGCAAAGCCAAUCCUCAUAGGAGAUCUGAUGCAGUCUAUAAACUCCCUCAAAAACAGAUACAAAUGUGUCCAUUUCCCCCUCUUUCUCAUUAAAUGUCAAAAAGUGGGCUGCCCCUACCAGGCCUGGAGCUCCUCAGUCUCUCUGGUGCUUUGAUCCAAAGCUCCUCCAUCUGAAGCUUCUUUUCUUCCAAAAUCAAUUGUUUCUUCUCCAGGCCAAUGUCGGGGGGAAGAGGAGCAUGAUGACACCCAACUGCUGCUUCAGCAGCUGUGAUGGUCAUCACUCACACUGCCCUCCUGUACUGGCAAAUCAGGCUUCAGUCCUGUUACUGGGUCUGGAACCAAUUCAAGACUCUGAGCUUGACUGCUGUGUUCCAGGAGCGUGAUUUGCUGUGCCUUGUUGGCCUUCCCAAAGGUUAGACCUCUUUCCUGGCACAAUUCAGUAAGCCUCUCCUUAGAGAUCUGCUUGUAUGCUAAAUCCUUGGCCAUAGCUUUGGAUAGGCACUCUGGGAUCUCACUGCUUGCACCACCUGUCACUAAUCAAUGCUGCUUUUGAGGCAAAAUUUUGCCUCAGGGCUCCCCAAGAAGAUGCCUUAUUUGGUCUCCCUCCUUCAGUGUCCCUUGAGGGGCAAAUCUCUGGCUUGUAGACCCUGGCUUCUCUUUGUCCCUGACAUUCGCAGUGAUCCAUAGCACCCCACUUCAGAGAUCUCCUUUUUUUGGUCAGCUCCUUCCUUUUUUUGUGUCCUUGUGACAAGGUUUUUAGCAGCAUUCACAGAUCUCAUUGGACUCUGACAGGCAGCACUGCACACUUUUGCUAUAGCCUUGAACUUGCCAACUAUGUACCUUAGCACCUGUGCCACCCCAGCCCAUAGUCAGCUCCCAUGAAAGGGGUGAUUCCUUCUUUGGCGGGGGCGUGGGGGUGCAGGGCAGGGUCAGACUGCUUAUAUCUCAGACAGCACAGUAGACUUCUCAGGUCCAAACAAACAGUCUUCAGUGUGCCAUAGCAUUUCUCUUGGUCCUCCCUCAGACUCCCUGGUCUGCCCUGCCUGAGAUUACUCUUUCUCUUCCUAGUUCUCACCUAGGCUUCUGUUACACAGGGAAGUUUUGAACCUGUGCCUCUGACUUCCCAGCACAGCACUGUAACCUUCUCGAAGCUAGUUAGGGACUAGACUCACUGCCUAGAGAGAAGCAGAGAUAUGUUCACCCCUUGGGAGCAAGCUUGUAGAGUAGAACCUGUGACCUAUUCCUGGCUGGGUCAGCAGCCACCUCACUGAGCCACACGCUUGGGCUCAGGAGCCUUGGGCUUCUUACUUCCUACUGGCCCUACAUUAUGUCUUGGCUGCCCAGGGGCGAGUUUCUAAAGAAGUGCUGGAGAAAGCGUGUGACAAUGCCUGUCCUGUGACAUGGUGCUCAGCAAGCUGAGCUGGGAAGCUGGCGAUACAGAUUCAACUCACUUCUGCAUGAGCCUACAGCUUGGGCUUUCAGCUUCCUGGGCAAGCACCUUAGCCACUCAGCUAUUGUAGCUAAACCAUGUGGUCCUUGUCCUCCUCCACCUUGAACACCCCCUAGUCAUAGGGUUUUGCCAGAUAGAAUUUCAUGACUUAAGUUGCCUAGCAUAUAUGCAUACAAAGUUGAGUGGUUGCCAAGGCCUGAGUGCUCCUACUGCAUUUGCUCAGUUACUAUGCAGACAUUUAUGUAUCUACAGUGACUGUGGAUCACAAAAAUUGAUAAGUGCCAAAAAUGGCUGGGUAACUGUCACUUGGGCGAAUGAAGUGAAGUAGGGUUCUUCCCCAGAGCUAUACAUAGUAUACCAACAUCUGUCUUACCUGUGCCAUGUAGAAACAAAAACAUUUCUGCUCUUACUCACUACUCUUAUUUCUCUUCCUCUUUGGAGGAUCAUAGUAGUCCUUUUUGCUACAGUAUCACCCUGGAAGCUCAGUUAAAUUGCUUCUAUAUUAGCAUAUCUAAAUUAAUUUUGGUAAGCCUGCUCAUUUGGUACCUCAUAUCUGUAGAUAUGACCACCUGUAUUUUUUGUUCAUAGUUCUAUAACUCUGUUUUGGUUAUUUGAAAAUUCAUUGUUUUUGAAUGGUCCCAAAUUACCAAGAGAUCCAAAUAUUCCUUUGUGACUGCUUUGUCCCCUUUGCUAUUUACCAUAUUACCCCUCUUUGUGCCAUCUAGAACUUAUACUUUCACUGAUGAAAAAUGCUGAAUACAGUCAAUCCUAGCACUGAUCUCUAUAAAACCUCUAGUCCUUUUCAGUGAUGAUAAGAGAGAUCUGUCAGAUAGGACUGUUCUUAAUCCAUUUAACAUAUGCUCUACUGAGGUCACAUAGUGCUAAUUUUCUACUUAUAAUGUGUGGUACUAAGUCAGAUUUUGUAUAAAAGUUCCUGCACAAAAAUUGUUUAAAAGCACCAUUUUUUUACAGACCUCUGGGCAGUGCCCUUUAUCAACCAACCUUGUAAACCAUGUAAUUUCAUGAAUA